rnacentral:rRNA from 1 species
UACGAAGGGGGCUAGCGUUGCUCGGAAUCACUGGGCGUAAAGGGUGCGUAGGCGGCCCUUCAAGUCGGGCGUGAAAGCUCCGGGCUUAACCCGGAAAGGUCAGCCGAUACUGCGGGGCUAGAGUGCAGAAGGGGCAACUGGAAUUCUCGGUGUAGCGGUGAAAUGCGUAGAUAUCGAGAGGAACACCUGCGGCGAAGGCGGGUUGCUGGGCUGACACUGACGCUGAACUGCGAAAGCUAGGGGAGCGAACGGG